UGCGGUUUAAUUGGACUCAACGCCGGGCAGCUCACCGGAUAAGACAGCUGGAUGAUAGCCGGGCUGAAGACUCUGCUUGACUGGCUGAGAGGAGGUGCAUGGCCGUCGUCAGUUCGUACUGUGAAGCAUCCUGUUAAGUCAGGCAACGAGCGAGACCCACGCCAACAGUUGCCAGCAUGUCCUCCGGGAUGAUGGGGACACUGUUGGGACCGCCUCUGCUAAAGAGGAGGAAGGAAUGGGCAACGGUAGGUCAGCAUGCCCCGAAUUAUCCGGGCUACACGCGGGCUACAAUGGUCAGGACAAUGGGUAUCGACACCGAGAGGUGGAGGCAAUCUCCUAAACCUGUCCUUAGUUCGGAUUGUGGGCUGCAACUCGCCCACAUGAAGCUGGAAUCCGUAGUAAUCGCGUUUCAAAAUAGCGCGGUGAAUAUGUCCCUGCUCCUU
rnacentral:rRNA from 1 species